AGCGAACGCUGGCGGCAGGCUUAACACAUGCAAGUCGAGCGGUCACUUCGGUGUCAGCGGCAGACGGGUGCGUAACACGUGGGAACGUACCCUUUGGUUCUGAAUAACGCUGGGAAACUAGCGCUAAUACCGGAUACGCACUUUUGGGGAAAGGCUUGCUGCCGAAGGAUCGGCCCGCGUCUGAUUAGCUAGUUGGCGGGGUAAUGGCCUACCAAGGCGACGUUCAGUAGCUGGUCUGAGAGGAUGAUCAGCCACACUGGGACUAAGACACGCCCCCGACUCCUACGGGAGGCAGCAGUGGGGAAUAUUAGACUAUGGGCGCGAGCCUGCUCCAGCCAUGCCGCGUGAGUGAGGAAGUCAUUAGGGUUGUAAAGGUCUCUUGUCCGUGACGAUAAUGACGGUACCGGAAGAAAAAGCCCCGGCUAACUUCGUG
rnacentral:rRNA from 1 species